UGAGGCACGAAAGCUUGGGGAGCAGACAGGAUUAGAUACCCUGGUAGUCCACGCUGUAAACGAUGAUCACGAGCUGUUGGCGAUACACUGUCAGCGGCUGAGCGAAAGUAUUAAGUGAUCCACCUGGGGAGUACGAUCGCAAGGUUGAAACUCAAAGGAAUUGACGGGGGCCCGCACAAGCGGAGGAGCAUGUGGUUUAAUUCGAUGAUACGCGAGGAACCUCACCUAGGCUUAAAUGCUUUUUGACCGUCCUGGAAACAGGAUUUCCCUUCGGGGCAAAUUGCAAGGUGCUGCAUGGUUGUCGUCAGCUCGUGCCGUGAGGUGUCGGGUUAAGUCCCAUAACGAGCGCAACCCCUAUUCUUAGUUGCCAUCAGGUAAUGCUGGGAACUCUAAGGAAACUGCCUACGCAAGUAGUGAGGAAGGUGGGGAUGACGUCAAAUCAGCACGGCCCUUACGCCUAGGGCUACACACGUGCUACAAUGGCCAGCAUAGUGGGUUGCUACCUGGUAACAGGAUGCUAAUCUCUAAAUCUGGUCUCAGUUCGGAUUGAAGUCUGCAACUCGACUUCAUGAAGUUGGAUUCGCUAGUAAUCGCGCAUCAGCAAUGGCGCGGUGAUACGUUCCCGGGCCUUGUACACACCGCCCGUCAAGCCAUGGAAGCUGGGAGUGCCUGAAGUCUGUAACCGCAAGGAGCGGCCUAGG
rnacentral:rRNA from 1 species